UGUCCCAGAUCCCAACCCGGGGCCCGGCGGGGCCCCUCGCCCAGAGCUGGGUCUGAGGGGCGCGACCACCAACGAGACCCGCCCGUCUGUCUCCACUGGAGCAGCCUGCGCCGUUUAGGCGUCCUCGGGCUGCAAUCUACAGAUGAUAUGCAUCGGCCAAUGUGCAAGUUUUAGAAACCUGUGUGUUAUAAUGAAAAUUCUGAUACAACCUACCUGUUGUAGCUGCUGUCAAAUAACUGCAGCAAGAGCACUUGUUUAUCAAUACCUGGGUGCUGUGGAGGACGUGGACAGAAUGGCUGCUUGAGCGCUUCCUCAGCAGCCUGCACCUAGUUCUCCUAGUCCUGCUGCUACUCAGCAUGAAAUACUCCUUGUGGGCGUCUGUACAUCCUUGGGCUCCGGCAGCCAGGUUUCUACAUAUUGGAAGCUCCAGGCUAAAGCAAAAGG